rnacentral:lncRNA from 1 species
UUCUGCAUCUAGAGAUGCAGACAACACCCCUCAAAGAGAGCUAAAUGUUUACUGAGCUCAAAGUGGGAUCCAUAUUUAUGCAAAGGACCAGCAGCAGUGCUACCUCAUCAGACUGCAGCAGACAGCAAACAAGGAAGCGGGCACAUUUGCCAUUUGUAUGAAUAGCUUUGCAAGGCAACCCAACUCCUUUCAAAAAGAGCGUUACUUCAGCUUCUUCCAGAGUGGUGCAUGCUAGAAGAAGAACAUACCUCAGAAAAUAGCAUCUCACCUGAGUUAUAUGUUGAUACAUUAGCAGCAUUUUACAUUCAUGUCUUGCCUUUGGCAUAAUCUACUCUUGUACUUUCCAUUGUAAGACUGUGGUAUAGUUGGAUAGAUACCUGCGGACAAGUUACUCAUACCUUCAC